AGGUAAUUGGUGUGGAGAAGAUUGACCUCAGCCUUGCUUUGAACAUUGUUCCAAAGGCUCUGUAGUAAAUGAUUUCUCUCUCAGCUGGAUGUGCUAUCUGACAAACUUCUGAAGGUUUUUGAGAAGAGAGGAGGACAGAUAGGCCAGCGUCUGAACUGUAUUAUGUCAAACAUGACUCAAGUUGAUGAUGUCGAUUUAGGCCGGGAUUAUCUUCUCAAGGCGCUGUGUGUACACCUCAAUGAGAGAGUUUGUGGUCAGUAGAAGUAAUAUUUGACCUUUUUAUUUUUUUGUUGGGCAUUAAAAUGUAUUUAUUGUAACACCACAUAGUAUAUAGCCAAAAGUAUGUGAACAUCCCUGUUUUUUGUUUAAUAGCCAGACUACACUGAAAAGCUAGAGGGCUUUUAAUUUAAAACGGAUACAGGAAAUGAAACAUUUUUUAUCAGGUCAGACAGGAGUAUAUCAGAUAACAAGGAGGCUUAAAAGUACAGAAAUCUGUACCGUAAAUGUUGUAUUAA